GUAUAGCACAAGUACUAAAAUUAGAAUGAUAUAGAUUAGCAAGGCUUCUGCACAAGCAUGACAUGCAAAUUUGUGAAGUGUUCCAUAUUUUU
rnacentral:snRNA from 3 species